rnacentral:rRNA from 1 species
GCAAGUCGAACGCGAAAGUCCCCUUCGGGGGACAAGUAGAGUGGCGUCCGGGUGAGUAACACGUAGGUAAUCUACCUUCGGGUGGGGAAUAACGCAGGGAAACUUGCGCUAAUACCGCAUAAUGCAGCGGCACCACAUGGUGACAGUUGUUAAAGCGGGGGAUUUUCGAACCUCGCGCCUGAAGAGGAGCCUGCGGCAGAUUAGCUAGUUGGUAAGGUAACGGCUUACCAAGGCAACGAUCUGUAGCCGGCCUGAGAGGGCGGUCGGCCACACUGACACUGACAUACGGGUCAGACUCCUACGGGAGGCAGCAGUCGGGAAUUUUGGGCAAUGGGCGAAAGCCUGACCCAGCAACGCCGCGUGAAGGAUGAAAUCCCUCGGGAUGUAAACUUCGCAAGAAUAGGAAGAAUUAGUAGGGGUUAAUACCCCCUAUGAUGACGGUACUAUUUGUAAGCUCCGGCUAACUCCGUGCCAGCAGCCGCGGUAAUACGGGGGGAGCAAGCGUUGUUCGGAUUUACUGGGCGUAAAGGGCGCGUAGGCGGUCAGCACAAGUCAGUUGUGAAAUCUCCGGGCUUAACUCGGAAAGGUCAACUGAUACUGUGCGACUAGAGUGCAGAAGGGGCAACUGGAAUUCUCGGUGUAGCGGUGAAAUGCGUAGAUAUCGAGAGGAACACCUGCGGCGAAGGCGGGUUGCUGGGCUGACACUGACGCUGAUGCGCGAAAGCCAGGGGAGCGAACGGGAUUAGAUACCCCGGUAGUCCUGGCCUUAAACGAUGAAUGCUUGGUGUCUGGAGUUUUAUAGUCUCCGGGUGCCGUAGC